rnacentral:ncRNA from 1 species
UAAAUUUGCACCCGUUCAGAGGAACUACAUAAUAAUCAUUUACAACAAUAUUGGCAUG